rnacentral:rRNA from 1 species
UACGGAGGAGGCAAGCGUUAUCCGGAAUUAUUGGGCGUAAAGCGUCCGCAGGUGGCGAUUCAAGUCUGCUGUCAAAGGUCGUGGCUUAACCCCGGGAAGGCAGUGGAAACUGAAUAGCUAGAGUGCGGUAGGGGCAGAGGGAAUUCCCGGUGUAGCGGUGAAAUGCGUAGAGAUCGGGAAGAACGCCAGUGGCGAAAGCGCUCUGCUGGGCCUGCACUGACAUUGAGGGACGAAAGAUAGGGGAGCGUAAGGG